UGAAUUUAAAUUUGUUUAUUUAAUCAGAUUUCAGACACAGUAAAUCCAGAUUUUCAAGUAAGAAAAAGCAAUAAAGAAAAUAAGAAAUAUGAAAACGGUUAAAACUCACCAACUACUUUUUCAUCUCUUUCAUCUUUUUCUCCCUUUUUCUCAAUUUCUUUAAUUUUUAAUUUUCCACAGAGAAAGAAACGAAUUUUCAGUGAUGCAGAUUGAAGUGAAAGAGGAAUAAGGUUGAAUCGGAGAGAGAGAGAGAGAGAGAGAGAGUCAAUAACCGAAGAAACAGGCAUGGCCACAAAUGACUAAAUCGAGUAAUNAAAUGUCGGCCCGACUGAGAAGAAGACAAAGACGAACACGAAGAUGAAGACGAAGGUGAAGAGUUGAGACAAAGAGGGAGACGCAGACGAAGACAAAGGGGCCCAACUAAUAUUACAAAUCCCAGCCCAAUAAAAUAAUAAAAAAAAGAAUAUUGGGCCAGCUAAAUAAAAAGAAAACGCCCCCAAAAAAGAAUAUUACAAGACUUGGUAGUCUUGAAGGGUGUGGCUUUUGAUGUGUUUUUUGCUUUUUCCGUUUGAGUCAAUUAUUUCCAUCCCUACUCUCUCGUGGUCCAUACAAAUGUCGGCCCCAAUCACUUUUACAGACGAAGACGAAGAUGAAGAUGAAGACGAAGACUUGAGGUUGUGGACUACAAUUGUUGGCCACACAGACAGAGACGGAGACGGAGACGGAGACGAAGGUGAAGAGUUUGAAGCCCUGUGCCACUCAAUUUUGGUGCGCCACAUGAUAACGCAGCAACAUUUUUCAUUGGCUUUUACUUGUAUAUAAUUUUUUUUUAAAUGUAUAAAAAUUAAGAAAAAAAUAACAUUACAAAAAAGGAUUUAGAUCACAUGUAAGAGAAUCAUAAUUUAAUAUUGCGUUUCACCGGAAGUUAAAUUAAAUUAUUUCUUCAUGAAAUUCGUUUGUAUGCAAAAUACUAAUGGGCCGUCACCAUUUAUCCAACAAAAAAAAUGGACUUUUUUUUGGGCUGAACAAUAGAAAUGGAAUAUAUUUCAAUAGUUAAAUUUUAAUUUUGUUGGUGUAUGUAAUUACAUAUGUUACUUUAAUUAAAUAUGAACUUGAAUAAUUACAUUGAACAAUAAGACUUUCUCACACAAAGCAAAACUCUUUCAUUUUUCCCGUCCUUAUAAAUUAUAAUAGCUUGUUUUCUUGUAAUUUUGGAUGUAUGUUUUCCCUUGUGUAGAAAAAAAGGAAAUUACCACUUAUUUUUAUGAAUCGGUAUCCUGUGUGGGUUUUCGCACCGUGCGAAUCGGGGUUCCGCACAUCAAUCUGAACUGCGCUUUCUCCUCUUCAUAAAGUAUAUAUGUAAAUAACAUUUUUAUUAAUAACAGUUAAUUUUCUUAACAAUCACUAAUUAGUAUUUUAUUUUGAUGCUACAUGUCUAGUAAAUUCUCAAGGAUUGCAAACAAUCGAUGAUUUCUUUAGCCCAUGGUCAGGGUCACAAGAUUGAUAUUUAGCCUUGGCUGCAUCAAGAUUGAUAUGAUUAAUGAUUAUGUUUAUUNUUUUUUAAUAUAAUGAUUAUGUAUCUUAUUUUUUGUCUUAAUGCUAAAGUGAAAUGGAAUGUGGAAAUAUGGGCUGGAUUUGGGCAGCUUUUUGGGUUGGAUUUUGAACAUGACAUCAUACAUGGGCUGAAUUUUAUUUGUUGACAAUUUAACCUUUUACAUAUUGUGUUUUGAAUGGAUAAUUAUAAAUUAUUUUUACUAUUUCUAAUUUAUACUUUUGUUAAAUGACAUCGACAUGAUAUAACAUGUCGAGUUUUAAUAAAUUAUUUGAAAAAUACAAACACAAAAAUAUAUUUUUUUCCAACUUUUUGAAAAAUAUGAAAAGGAAAAAAAGGAAAAAUUCAGAUCAGUUUUUAUAGUCAACAGCUCAAAAACUUGCAAUCCAAAACAUUGAUUAUCUUUUAAUGAUAAUUUUGGUGAUAUUUUCAUCAUUCAUUUCUCUCUCUUCAUAAUAUGUUUUGAAAUCACUUCUUUAGUCAAGCAAUUGCAGCACUGAAUUUAAAUUUGUUUAUUUAUUCAGAUUUCAGACACAGUAAAUCCAGAUUUUCAAGUAAGAAAAAGCAAUAAAGAAAAUAAGAAAUAUGAAAACGGUUAAAACUCACCAACUACUUUUUCAUCUUUUUCUCCCUUUUUCUCAAUUUCUUUAAUUUUUAAUUUCCACAGAGAAAGAAAGGAAUUUUCAGUGAUUCAGAUUGAAGUGAAAGAGGAAUAAGGUUGAAUACGAGAGAGAGAGAGAGAGAGUCAAUAACCGAAGAAACAGGCAUGGCCACAAAUGCUAAAUCGAGUAAUUUCGCGAAACUGAAGCCCGGUGUUGGAGAUGGGCCGUCUUCUUCAAAACCUAGAUUUGAUCCAUCUGCAUCGAAGAA
rnacentral:lncRNA from 1 species